UGGGGAAUAUUGCACAAUGGAGGGAACUCUGAUGCAGCAACGCCGCGUGCGGGAUGACGGCCUUCGGGUUGUAAACCGCUUUCAGCCAUGACGAAGCUUUUGUGACGGUAGUGGUAGAAGAAGCACCGGCUAACUACGUGCCAGCAGCCGCGGUGAUACGUAGGGUGCGAGCGUUGUCCGGAAUUAUUGGGCGUAAAGAGCUUGUAGGCGGUUUGUCGCGUCGAUAGUGUAAACACGCAGCUUAACUGUGUGCCUGCUGUCGGUACGGGCUGACUAGGGGAGGGUAGGGGAGAAUGGAAUUCCCGGUGGAGCGGUGGAAUGCGCAGAUAUCGGGAGGAACACCAGUGGCGAAGGCGGUUCUCUGGACCUUUCCUGACGCUGAGAAGCAAAAGCGUGGGUAGCAAACAGG
rnacentral:rRNA from 1 species